GAUGAACGCUGGCGGCGUGCCUAAUACAUGCAAGUCGAGCGAACGGACGAGAAGCUUGCUUCUCUGAUGUUAGCGGCGGACGGGUGAGUAACACGUGGAUAACCUACCUAUAAGACUGGGAUAACUUCGGGAAACCGGAGCUAAUACCGGAUAAUAUUUUGAACCGCAUGGUUCAAAAGUGAAAGACGGUCUUGCUGUCACUUAUAGAUGGAUCCGCGCUGCAUUAGCUAGUUGGUAAGGUAACGGCUUACCAAGGCAACGAUGCAUAGCCGACCUGAGAGGGGGAUCGCCCACCCUGGAACUGAGACACGGCCCAACCCCCUACGGGGGGCAGGAGGGGGGAAUCUUCCGAAAGGGGCGAAAGCCUGACGGGGCAACGCCGGGUGAGUGAUGAAGGUCUUCGGAUCGUAAAACUCUGUUAUUAGGGAAGAAAAUAUGUGUAAGUAACUGUGCAAAUUUUGACGGUACCUAAGCAGAAAACCCCGGCUAACUACGU
rnacentral:rRNA from 1 species